rnacentral:ncRNA from 1 species
CUGGCAACACACGGGAGUCCCGGGAACGGGGACUGAGAGUGGGCUACGAGACGCCGAGCACCAGCCCUUACCGUCACACCUGAUCCGGGUCAUGCCGGCGAAGGGAGUCAAGGAAUGGCACGC